UACGUAGGGGGCUAGCGUUGCUCGGAUUUACUGGGCGUAAAGCGCACGUAGGCGGCUUCUUAAGUCGGUGGUGAAAUCCUGGAGCUCAACUCCAGAACUGCCUUCGAUACUGGGAAGCUCGAGUCCGGGCGAGGUGGGUGGAACUGCGAGUGUAGAGGUGAAAUUCGUAGAUAUUCGCAAGAACACCAGUGGCGAAGGCGGCUCACUGGCCCGGUACUGACGCUGAGGUGCGAAAGCGUGGGGAGCAAACAGG
rnacentral:rRNA from 1 species